rnacentral:tRNA from 1 species
CCCCCAUUAGCUCAGUGGACAGAGCACGAUGUUACGAGCGUCGGUUGUCGCAAGUUCGAAUCUUGCAUGGGGGUCCA